UACGUACUGUGCGAACGUUAUUCGGAAUCACUGGGCUUAAAGGGUGUGUAGGCGGUUGAUUAAGUAGGGUGUGAAAGGCCUUGGCCUAACCAAGGCAUUGCGCUCUAAACUGAUCGACUUGAGUAAGAUAGGGGUGUGCGGAACUUCCAGUGGAGCGGUGAAAUGUGUUGAUAUUGGAAGGAACGCCGGUGGCGAAAGCGGCACACUGGGUCUUAACUGACGCUGAGACACGAAAGCCAGGGGAGCGAACGG
rnacentral:rRNA from 1 species